GAGAGAGAGAGAGAGAGAGAAGUUUUGGAUCGGAAAAGAAAGUACUGUGGUGGAUCAGAAAAGAUAGUAGUAUAGAACGGUUGAUAAAAAAGAGGGAAAGAGAGACAUGAUUAAAGCGAAAGCUUUACGUAGCCAUAGCUAUAACCUGUAUGUUGACUUGACAUCUCAGCAGUCAGCAGUGUGAAACCGGGGUUGGUGAAAUGGGCAGAGGGUGC
rnacentral:misc_RNA from 1 species